GCUCGCAACCGUCUUCAGCAUCUUCACCGACACGUGUCUCUGACUUCAUCUUGUGUGCGCGUGCCGUGCUGCGGAUUUCACACACACACACACACACACACACACACGCACACACACACACACACACACGCACGCACGGCGGGGGCGGCGCGCACGAAAACAGCACCCUUGUCUUCAGGUGGAGUCGCGUUUGCAUGUGUAGGGUGCCGCUAUUUGCGUGCUGACCUUUUCGUUGACCCGCCAUCCUCUGCUUUGACAGCCAUCACUCGGAAUUCGCAUUCGCCGAGAAUUGCAUACGCAUACGCGUCCCAUAAAGCCAUACAGAUUUCAAGAAACAGACACCCUCCUUCUCCACCAGACACACAGAGAGAGAGCGCACUACAUCAUAGUAGGUAUUUUUUAUUUUUGUUCCCACUCGCAUAGAAGGUGUCACCGUCUGCCGCGUGCACACCAACCCAUACAUUGCUUGCUGUCUCUCCGCCACCGUCGCACCUGAGCCUCUUCAAGUGACGUAUACUCGGUCCUCGGCGUACCAAGGCACUCUUGACACGACAGCUGGAAAUAGUACGUUGCAGGCGUUCUCGUUCUCCCUGCUCGUGUCUGACCACAAUUCUCAACCACGAGGCAGUUAUUGGCGAUGUCGGCCAAGAAGUCGACCCGCGCGCGAGGCAAGGCUUCUUCACGUGCGUCGCAGUACAGCGGCGAGGCGAAUGCGGUAUCACAGGCGUACGACGUGGCCUCCCUGCCCAUGGACGACGCAGCGGCCACCCCACACCAGUGCAGCGGCCCAUUACCGAAGAAGGUGUCCAAGAAGGAGUCUCAGCAGGACAGCAGUGCAGCCGCUGCGGAAGGAGAAAUCAUUGCAACACCGCAGCCAACCCUCGGCGAGGCAGAGACUGCUUCCCUUGCGGAGUCGACGCUGCAGUUUCUUGUGGAUGGCACCAGUGUCGUAUCGAGUGUCACUGAGGCGAUUCUCUCUGUGUACCGCAGCGGGGCCAAGGAGCGGGCCCUGUGCGCCGUUCUUAACGUGCUGGCAAAGGCGGCCGGCGUCGCCGAAGUGGAGCUGGAUGCGAGCGCGCUUGUCGACGGUGUGGAGAUAGGGCCGCUCCUUGAGGAGCUGUACGCGCGGGUGCCGGAGGACUCGGAGGCGUAUCUGCUCGUGAACAAGGAUGUCAAGUACAAGCGCUUCCGGCGCACCUUUCCGGAGUGGUGCGCGUCGCUGAUGCAGGACGGCUUUGCGUCGGACGUGCUGCUGGACGGGACAUUUUUGCCUAUUCUCUCACAGUGGAUCAUCGCCAUGAGCGAGAGCAAGUCGCGCUCUUUUCGCCACACCGCUACCGUGGCGCUGCUCGCGUUUGUGCAAGCGCUCUCCAGCGUGGCCGCUAACCUGCAGAGUCAGCUUUCGCUUCUCCGCUCGAAGAAGACCAUCAGCGUAGUCCAGAGGAAGCGCAACAAGGUCGUCGAGUGGCGCGAUCACGUCUUCUCGCAGGCCAUCCAUCAGCGGCUGCGCGACAUUGCUCCGGAUAUCCGCCUUGCUGGCUUUCAGGCACUCCGUCGGUGGAUUCUGGAGUAUCCGGAGGAGUACAUGACAAACAGAUACCUGCGCUACCUCGGUAUGCCGCUUCACGACAAACGGCCAGAGCUUCGGGCGGAGGCGCUGGACACCAUUUUGCAGGCCCUCGCCCACGUCCCGGAUGCCUACAGUCGGCUGCAUCUGUUCCUCCAGUACUUCACGAGCCGACUGGUGGAGUUGAGCAACGACGUCGACGUACGCUGCACGGAGCUGGCCAUUCGCGUGGUGGCCAUGAUGGUACGCAGCGAUAGCGACGUGCCAGAGGGAAGCGAGCUGCUGAGCAACGAGAGAGUGGAUCAGGUUCUCUUGACGCUGUUCGACGAGCGCCCGUCCAUCCGCGCUGCCGCGGGCAUCCUGCUGAAGGUUUUUAUCCACUGCCGCACCGCGGCGGAGGAGAGCGAGGCGGCGCAGGUGAGUGCUGCCACCGAGCUGCUGUGCUCCUUCGCCGCCACGCUGCGCUCUCAGUACCGGGAGGCUAUGCCGGAGAAGUACCUGAUCGACGCUCUCUGGACGCCAGAGCGACCGCCGCUGUUGCUGACCGAUUUUCAGCCCAUCCUCGCCGCCGCGCAGUCCGACAAGCCGCUCGACGCUGUGGUGGGCUUGCAAUUGAUGGCGGCGCUGUUGCUGAAGGUGCAGGGCCGGUUGACGCUGGGGCCGCUGCCGAAGGAUGACCGCCGCGGCGGCACGGUCACGGCAAGCAAGAAAAUCCCGCCGGCGGCAAAGGGGGAGGCGGAGGCGUUGCUGCAUCGCCUCAGCGAGGAUGCAGUGCACGCGCUCUCCACCAUUCUGGAAGUGCACUGCGGCAGCGAGGAUGUCCUGCAAGCCGCCGCGGAGGUGUGCGCCGCGCUGGACUUCUCCACCUUUUCUUCGCAGCGUCACCAGGCCGCCCUUUCAGCCCUUCUGAUCGAGUUGCGAAAGGCAACGCUGAACGCGUCGUGCACCGCGCUGGAGAUGCGCGAAAGCCUCACCAAGGCGUGGCAUCAGCUGGCCUUCACGGAGCACCCGUUGCGCAACGAAGCACACGCGCACCUGCAAGAGCUACUCAAGAACGUCAUGGCGCAGUUUUCGCAAGCGGUCAGGGCACCAUCGAGAUCCAGCGAGGGAAACUCGCUGGCCGAUGCCGCGGACUUGUUGCACGCGUGGGCCCGCGUGAACCUCGCUUCAGCUCUCGUUCCGAUGGGGGCUCACUGGCCGCAGAUCCAAACGGCGCUGACGGGGAUUCUAGCGGCUCAGCCAGCGGCCGACGCGUCGCUAGUGAUGUUGGUGGUGGGCGCCGCCGUGCAGUGUCUUCUCUGGCAGGUGCACAGCUCCGCCGACGAGGCGAACCCGGCGCUGUCGCUGUCGCAGCUGAAGGCGCAUGUGCGGGGCGUGGUGGCUGGCGUGUUGCAGUAUCAGGCGGAGACGGAGGAGGAGGCGCAGGCAACCGCCUCUCCCGGUGCCGCGGCAGAUGGCGCUGCCGUGCUGGCUCGUGCGGAGGUGUUCGUCUACCUCUGCGAUCUCCUGGCGCUCCCGUAUUACAAUCUAGCGCAGGCGCAGCAGGAGAUGCUUGUGCGGCUGCUUCGCGGGCUGUACGAGCGAGUCUCGGCAGAGCUGCGUACCGCCCAGGACUACCUGAAGAUGCACGUGCUGGAGCACAGGGCGCAGCAGCAACAGUGCCCAUCCCAAGCCGCUAGCUGGGCGCCCGCGAGCGUGACUGAAUUGGUGGCGGCACGGCGCGUCUGCUCGCGUGUGGAGGCGCUUCAGCUGCGGCUGGUGACGGGCGUCGCCCGCCUCUUCCUUUUUAAGCGGUUUGACGCCAUUUUGGCUGCGCCGUUUUUGUCGCUGUGGACGCACACGUCAUCGAAGACGGUCUCCGAUGCCUUCAAGAGCCUCUUCCACACUCUGCGUGAUCGCGCCGGCGACGACGGUUUUACCCUUGAGCGCGACAUCCUCCUCGCGGCGUACCAUCACUGUGUCGAGGUUGGCGCGACACCGUUUUCUGUGGAGGCGCUGUACCAGAUAGGCCUGAAGCUCUCCUCGGUGCACUUCAUCGGCACCGAUCGGUUGUACUCGUGCUGUCCGGCUAUGGUGCGCUUUGGCGCCGACUUCGCAGCGUCGACAGACCCGCUUCUUCUGCAAGCCGUCUCGUCGUACGCGGGGAAGCUGCGCCCAGCUGAUGCGCUCCACGUGCUGCGGGAUCAGCUGAGUCGGUGCAGCCUGUUUACAGAGGCCACCAACUCGUACGUGCUUGCGUUCGUCACUGCCUUGCGAAAAGCUGCAAAGCUGGACGACUCAACAGCACCCUCGUCGAUAGCUGGCGGGAAGCGUCGACAGGCACUGGCUGGCACGACGCAGCUGGCGGAGGAGGAGGGCAUGCUUAACGCGAUCACGCAAGGCUUGCCUGAUUGCUCGAACGCCGCCACUGCUGCAGCGUCCUCGUCUGCCCUUACUGUUGGCCCAGGCCAGCGUAUCUCGGUCGCGUCACGAGUAGUCACCGCUGACGGCUGGCACGUUCGCGCUGCUGGUGCGAGUCAGGGUAAUGCUGAGGAUGCCGUCGAGGUCGAGGUUAGUCAGGGCCAACGUACCUCCGCCGCCGCCCGUCCCCGUCGCUCUGUUGUGAAUGUUCCCACCACACAGGAGACGGCCCUCUCAUCCCUGGCAGACGGGCUAGACAGUGACGAGGUGUUCGUUGCAACGGAAGAGUACGAGUAGGCACACUCCCUCGGAUCUGGCGUGACCCGACCCUCAGAUGCGCGCACGUACGUAGACGCUGACAGCGGCACGGCAGGGAGUUGAUUGAUGCGCUUACGAUGAGCGCCACAUCUCACUUCCUCCGUCUCGGUUGAGGACAACACGCGUAGGGUGGUCGGGAAGCAGCAGCGGCUUUUUUUUUUGGUGGUGGUGGUGUAGAGAGGGAGGGACAGGCCUGGGCCUGUCCCUGCGGUAGGCACAGAAUGAGGCGAAAUAUGCGUGGAGUAGGGAAACGCAAGCAGAACCGUUGUGGGCCAUCAUAGAAGAACAGUGCUGUUCUCUCGCCCUAGUCGAUCCGGCGAUCCACUGGCUGGAUUGACGUUGGCCGACAUAGAAGUGUGAAAUCUGUGCUAGCGGUGCGCCUGCCUUAGAUGCUGAGUUUUUUUUUUUUGCUGUUGUUUUUUCUUUGUCUUUGUGCUGCCUUUUUCCGUGUGUUUGUGUGUGUUUUUCACACGCGCCAACCCCCCCCCCCCCCAUUUCGGUUUUUCCGCUCAUAUCCUUUGUUUUGUCCUGCCCUCAGAGCAGGAGGGGGACGGAGGCUCCGCGCACCCUCGCCGGCCACGCGCAACAGGAGACGGGAAAACGACGCGAGAGAAGGGGAGAGGUUGCGGAGGGCCAGGGCGGCGGGAGAAGGGGUAGGGGCAGGCGACCGAAAGUCGCCGAGCGGUGCGUGAGGAUGCCCUCCUCCCAGCCCUCUCAAGCUGUGCCUCUACGUGCCUCAUUGCUCAUCUCCUUCGUCUUUAACUAGGCACACAACGUGCUCUCAUGCCUCGACCUCUUCGCGCCCUUUUCUUCUUUGUUUCGAUUCCCCUUUCUUUUUCUUUUGAUACUGCUGUGAGCAUUGCCUCUCUCUGCCAUCCGAGUGGAGGGAGUGGGAGGCGGGGAGGGGGGCAACGCCAGAACAGACUCCGUGACUGAGGGGACCAAAGAGAAGUAAGUGGCACAAACUGCCACGAGGAGGAACUUAAGAACGUGCGGUCGUUCCUUCACAGCAUUCGCGAAGAAUGUGUGUGUGGCCGUGUGUGUGCGUUCGGCCUCUCAAGGCUGGCCUGCGACAUGAAUCACCGCAGGCGCUGCGAGGCUGCCUUGGCGACGUGCUUGGCGUCGCCUCUGCGAUCACCGCGGCCGAUUGUCAAAUCUUGUGGUAGCAUAAAGGCUGCAAAAUUUUUUUUCGCGUUGUGCGUAUGUAUGGAGGGGGGAGGGGUCUACCUUCACUUCGCGAAGCUCCCGCUUAACCCCGCGCCUGAUGUGCCGAACGGCUAAACUUAACCUCUCUUUCCAUGCUUUCCAUGCCCGCUUCUCAACCUUCCUCCGUCGCGUCACUCUUACGCCUUGCGCUUUCGACCGUACCUUCUCUGACAACCGAACAUCUGCGCCCCAUUCCAUCAAACGACCAUACGCACACACACACCGCACGGCCGUGGGGCACGCUAUCGAGAGUCUCUGAAAAG
rnacentral:misc_RNA from 1 species